GGGGUGCUCGAGUGGCGAACGGGUGAGUAACACGUGAGUAACCUGCCCUUGACUUUGGGAUAACUUCAGGAAACUGGGGCUAAUACCGGAUAGGAGCUCCUGCUGCAUGGUGGGGGUUGGAAAGUUUCGGCGGUUGGGGAUGGACUCGCGGCUUAUCAGCUUGUUGGUGGGGUAGUGGCUUACCAAGGCCUUGACGGGUAGCCGGCCUGAGAGGGUGACCGGCCACAUUGGGACUGAGAUACGGCCCAG
rnacentral:rRNA from 1 species